AGUGCUUAUUGCUAACCUGCACAGAGAGACGAGGCCUGGAAGGUUGUAGGCACUCAGGAUUGUGAAGCAAUUUACCACCCUGGAUCACUCCUGCAGGCAGGAUUUGGCACCCUCAGAGGAACCUGAUAGGCCUUUAAUACAGCCUCAGCAUAGGCUUUGAAGAAGCUAUUGUACGGUGUAGAGAUAACUAAAGAGUCAUUGGAUCAAGAGUACUGGACCCUGGAUCUUCCACCACCUAGUUGUAGCUUCAAAGCAGAAACUGAUCACAAACCGCUGAUUGCAAUAUACAAAAAGACGUGGAGAAGCACCACGAGGGAUACAGUGACUACUUUUGAAAAUACA